GCAUUAAGCGCCCCGCCUGGGGAGUACGGCCGCAAGGCUAAAACUCAAAGGAAUUGACGGGGGCCCGCACAAGCGGCGGAGCAUGCGGAUUAAUUCGAUGCAACGCGAAGAACCUUACCAAGGCUUGACAUAUACCGGAAACUCCCAGAGAUGGGGGCCCCGCAAGGUCGGUAUACAGGUGGUGCAUGGUUGUCGUCAGCUCGUGUCGUGAGAUGUUGGGUUAAGUCCCGCAACGAGCGCAACCCUCGUUCUAUGUUGCCAGCACGUGAUGGUGGGGACUCAUAGGAGACUGCCGGGGUCAACUCGGAGGAAGGUGGGGAUGACGUCAAAUCAUCAUGCCCCUUACGUCUUGGGCUUCACGCAUGCUACAAUGGCCGGUACAGAGGGCUGCGAUACCGCGAGGUGGAGCGAAUCCCUUAAAGCUGGUCUCAGUUCGGAUUGGGGUCUGCAACUCGACCCCAUGAAGUCGGAGUCGCUAGUAAUCGCAGAUCAGCAACGCUGCGGUGAAUACGUUCCCGGGCCUUGUACACACCGCCCGUCAAGUCACGAAAGUCGGUAAC
rnacentral:rRNA from 1 species